UGUAUAUACAUGUCACUAAAAUUGGAACAAUUUAGAGAAGGUUAGCAUGGCCCCUGCACAAGGAUGACACGCAAAUUCAUGAAGUGUUCCACUUUUUU
ensembl:snRNA U6 U6 spliceosomal RNA